rnacentral:pre_miRNA from 11 species
CGGAGAUCCUGCUCCGUCGCCCCAGUGUUCAGACUACCUGUUCAGGACAAUGCUGUUGUACAGUAGUCUGCACAUUGGUUAGACUGGGCAAGGGAAAUCA